GGAAUCAACAAUAAUAAAACCGCUUAACCAUUAAUCACUAGGAGCAGGGCAUUCUCAAGGGCUUGUGGUGAACACCUAGCUUCUGGGGCCUAGAGGCAUUCUUCAGAGGAGUAAAAUUGCAGUACCUCAUGUGAUUCUAUCUCAUAGUGUACAGGUGUGGUACCUGCUGGUGAUGGGCACCACCUGGUAGGUGCGGAGCUGCAUGUUCCUCUGGGUGCAGGCGGUGUCGUGGUUGAGGAGGAUGUUCAUGACGCUGAAGAGCUGCUCGAUGCGCUGGUCCUGGCGCAGGUCCUCACCCCCCUUCACUAGGAACGGGUAGUCCUUCUCAUCGUCACCGCGGAUUAUCAGGCGCUUCGGACGCCGGAGGGAGGUCAUGACCUUCACCUGAGCCAUAAAAGGCACUAGGAGUGUCGUAGGCUCCUGUACUGUGAUGCUGGAAGACUUCCAGGCCUCACCUGGGAUCUCCAGCUCAUUCCUCAGGGUUUCGGGC